rnacentral:pre_miRNA from 1 species
AUAUUACUCCCUCCGUCCGGAAAUACUUGUCGUGGAAAUGGAUACAGAUGGAUGUAUUUAGAAGUAAAAUACAUCUAGAUACAUCCAUUCCUCGGACAAGUAUUUUCGGACGGAGGGAGUAUUAU